UUAAUUUGAGAGUUUGAUCCUGGCUCAGGACGAACGCUGGCGGCGUGCCUAAUACAUGCAAGUCGAACGAACUCUGGUAUUGAUUGGUGCUUGCAUCAUGAUUUACAUUUGAGUGAGUGGCGAACUGGUGAGUAACACGUGGGAAACCUGCCCAGAAGCGGGGGAUAACACCUGGAAACAGAUGCUAAUACCGCAUAACAACUUGGACCGCAUGGUCCGAGUUUGAAAGAUGGCUUCGGCUAUCACUUUUGGAUGGUCCCGCGGCGUAUUAGCUAGAUGGUGAGGUAACGGCUCACCAUGGCAAUGAUACGUAGCCGACCUGAGAGGGUAAUCGGCCACAUUGGGACUGAGACACGGCCCAAACUCCUACGGGAGGCAGCAGUAGGGAAUCUUCCACAAUGGACGAAAGUCUGAUGGAGGAACGCCGCGUGAGUGAAGAAGGGUUUCGGCUCGUAAAACUCUGUUGUUAAAGAAGAACAUAUCUGAGAGUAACUGUUCAGGUAUUGACGGUAUUUAACCAGAAAGCCACGGCUAACUACGUGCCAGCAGCCGCGGUAAUACGUAGGUGGCAAGCGUUGUCCGGAUUUAUUGGGCGUAAAGCGAGCGCAGGCGGUUUUUUAAGUCUGAUGUGAAAGCCUUCGGCUCAACCGAAGAAGUGCAUCGGAAACUGGGAAACUUGAGUGCAGAAGAGGACAGUGGAACUCCAUGUGUAGCGGUGAAAUGCGUAGAUAUAUGGAAGAACACCAGUGGCGAAGGCGGCUGUCUGGUCUGUAACUGACGCUGAGGCUCGAAAGUAUGGGUAGCAAACAGGAUUAGAUACCCUGGUAGUCCAUACCGUAAACGAUGAAUGCUAAGUGUUGGAGGGUUUCCGCCCUUCAGUGCUGCAGCUAACGCAUUAAGCAUUCCGCCUGGGGAGUACGGCCGCAAGGCUGAAACUCAAAGGAAUUGACGGGGGCCCGCACAAGCGGUGGAGCAUGUGGUUUAAUUCGAAGCUACGCGAAGAACCUUACCAGGUCUUGACAUACUAUGCAAAUCUAAGAGAUUAGACGUUCCCUUCGGGGACAUGGAUACAGGUGGUGCAUGGUUGUCGUCAGCUCGUGUCGUGAGAUGUUGGGUUAAGUCCCGCAACGAGCGCAACCCUUAUUAUCAGUUGCCAGCAUUAAGUUGGGCACUCUGGUGAGACUGCCGGUGACAAACCGGAGGAAGGUGGGGAUGACGUCAAAUCAUCAUGCCCCUUAUGACCUGGGCUACACACGUGCUACAAUGGAUGGUACAACGAGUUGCGAACUCGCGAGAGUAAGCUAAUCUCUUAAAGCCAUUCUCAGUUCGGAUUGUAGGCUGCAACUCGCCUACAUGAAGUCGGAAUCGCUAGUAAUCGCGGAUCAGCAUGCCGCGGUGAAUACGUUCCCGGGCCUUGUACACACCGCCCGUCACACCAUGAGAGUUUGUAACACCCAAAGUCGGUGGGGUAACCUUUUAGGAACCAGCCGCCUAAGGUGGGACAGAUGAUUAGGGUGAAGUCGUAACAAGGUAGCCGUAGGAGAACCUGCGGCUGGAUCACCUCCUUUCUAAGGAA
rnacentral:rRNA from 1 species